rnacentral:rRNA from 1 species
GAUGAACGCUGGCGGCGUGCCUAAUACAUGCAAGUCGAGCGAACAGACGAGGAGCUUGCUCCUCUGACGUUAGCGGCGGACGGGUGAGUAACACGUGGAUAACCUACCUAUAAGACUGGGAUAACUUCGGGAAACCGGAGCUAAUAUCGGAUAAUAUAUUGAACCGCAUGGUUCAAUAGUGAAAGACGGUUUUGCUGUCACUUAUAGAUGGAUCCGCGCCGCAUUAGCUAGUUGGUAAGGUAACGGCUUACCAAGGCAACGAUGCGUAGCCGACCUGAGAGGGUGAUCGCCCACACUGGAACUGAGACACGGUCCAGACUCCUACGGGAGGCAGCAGUAGGGAAUCUUCCGCAAUGGGCGAAAGCUUGACGGAGCAACGCCGCGUGAGUGAUGAAGGUCUUCGGAUCGUAAAACUCUGUUAUUAGGGAAGAACAAAUGUGUAAGUAACUAUGCACGUCUUGACGGUACCUAAUCAGAAAGCCACGGCUAACUACGUG